AAAGUCACAAGGAGAACUGAUGAUUAAUGAGAUUGAGCCUUUUACACAUGCUUAUGUGCAUAUUGCUUUUGUGAGCUGUCUCUUUUCUUCCAUAGUGGAGAAGCCUGAGUGUAUUGGGUCUCACUCUCCCACUGGGAGCUGGCAGUAACAGCAGCCCUCACUUCUGUUAAAAAUGGAGACACAAGACACAUCAGACAGAGGGUCACCUCCCCAGAUCUUGGUCUCAGCCACCAAGGACUGCAAGCUUGCAGGUGAGGGCAGGCAGUGUGGAGGGUGUGGCAUUCAGGGAGAAAACACUAGUCAGCCUUUUUGCAGCUGGGGUAGUGUGAACGUAUCCUGCAUAAUUCUAAUUUGGCUGUGGGAGGCCACUAUUCUGAAUGGAUCCCUAAAGAAUACUAAGGCACAGAAUUACACAGGAGUCAGUGUUGGAAUCAGAAAGGUGUGAUUUUGGAGGUAGGUUUUUAGUUACAUGACCAUGAGUAAGUCCCUUAACUUCUCUGAGCAUCGGCUUCCAUAUCUAUGAAAUCUAAACAACGUGAGCAGCAAUUUUAUUUUGAAUAAU
rnacentral:lncRNA from 1 species